AGUGAACGCUGGCGGCGUGCUUAACACAUGCAAGUCGAACGAGAACGGAUUAUAGCUUGCUAUAAUUGUCAGCUAAGUGGCGCACGGGUGAGUAAUGUAUAGGUAAUAUGCCUCUUACUAAGGGAUAACAAAUGGAAACGUUUGCUAAUACCUUAUACUCCUUAUUAACAGAAGUUAAUAAGGGAAAGAUUUAUUGGUAAGAGAUUAGCCUAUAUUGUAUCAGUUAGUUGGUGGGGUAAUGGCUUACCAAGACUAUGACACAUAACUGGUUUGAGAGGAUGAUCAGUCACACUGGAACUGAGACACGGUCCAGACUCCUACGGGAGGCAGCAGUGGGGAAUAUUGCACAAUGGACGAAAGUCUGAUGCAGCAACGCCGCGUGGAGGAUGACACAUUUCGGUGCGUAAACUCCUUUUAUACGAGAAGAUAAUGACGGUACCUGGAUAAGAAGCCCCGGCUAACUUCGUGCCAGCAGCCGCCGUAA
rnacentral:rRNA from 1 species